rnacentral:rRNA from 1 species
UACGUAGGCAGCAAGCGUUGUUCGGAGUUACUGGGCGUAAAGGGUGUGUAGGCGGUUGGGUAAGUGUGGUGUGAAAUCUCCCGGCUUAACUGGGAGGGUGCGCUACAAACUGUCUGACUAGAGUGUGGGAUGGGAGAGUGGAAUUCCUGGUGUAGCGGUGAAAUGCGUAGAUAUCAGGAGGAACACCUGUGGCGAAAGCGGCUCACUGGACCAUAACUGACGCUGAUGCACGAAAGCUAGGGGAGCAAACAGG